AUUGAACGCUGGCGGCAGGCCUAACACAUGCAAGUAGAACGGAGCGGCGGACGGGUGAGUGAUUCCUAGGAAUCUGCCUGGUCGUGGGGGAUAACGUCCGGAAACGGGCGCUAAUACCGCAUACUAUCAGAUGAGCCUAGGUGGGAUUCGCUAGUUGGUGGGGUAAUGGCCAACCAAGGGGACGAUCCGUAACUGGUCUGAGAGGAUGAUCAGCCAAACGGGAACUGAGACACGGUCCAGACUCCUCGGGGAGGAAGCAGUGGGGAAUAUUGGACAAUGGGGGAAAGCCUGCUCCAGCCAUGCCGCGGGUGUGAAGAAGGUCUUCGGAUUGAAAAGCACUUUAAGUGGGGAGGCGUUACCCGCAGAAGAAGCAACGGCUAACUCCGUGCCAGCAGCCGCGGUAAUUC
rnacentral:rRNA from 1 species